rnacentral:rRNA from 1 species
UGAGGAAUAUUGGUCAAUGGGCGGGAGCCUGAACCAGCCAAGCCGCGUGAGGGAUGAAGGCCCUAUGGGUCGUAAACCUCUUUUGUCAGGGAACAAAAGCGAGUAUGUAUACUAGUCUGAGUGUACCUGAAGAAAAAGCAUCGGCUAACUCCGUGCCAGCAGCCGCGGUAAUACGGAGGAUGCGAGCGUUAUUCGGAUUUAUUGGGUUUAAAGGGUGCGUAGGCGGCGAUGCAAGUCAGCGGUAAAAGCCCGGGGCUCAACCCCGGCGAGCCGUUGAAACUGCAGUGCUAGAGAAGGCGAGAGGUACGCGGAAUGCGCAGUGUAGCGGUGAAAUGCUUAGAUAUUGCGCAGAACUCCGAUUGCGAAGGCAGCGUACUGGCGCCUGACUGACGCUGAGGCACGAAAGCGUGGGGAUCGAACAGGAUUAGAUACC